UCACGCCUUCUGGAGCCAAUUCAAAAUUCUGGAGAAAUUGAAAAAUCGCGCUGGAGGCUCCAGAAUGGCUGGAAAUUGUGAAAUUCGGAUUUGGGUAUCUAAUAAUAGUUUUGGGACUUAUUUUGACCGUUUUUUUCAGAUCAAGUACGUACUUUUAAAAAAAAGCAUAAAUCACCAAAAAAAGGUCAAUUUUGAAUUUUCAAAAAUUCGCCAAAAAUCGAAAAAUGAACUUGGGCAGCUGAAAAUUUGGUUUUGGGGGUUUUAGACUAUGCUCUUUCCAAAAAUCACGGUCCCGUUCAAAUCGGAGUGUGACACAUCAAGAGGUUUCCUUGUGAGCUUAAUGGCCAGUCACUGGGAUCUGGGAAUACAGCAGUUGGAAUAUUCACAAAAUUCGAAAUAUUGAUAAAUUAAAAACACCCGUAAAUGAGCCUCCAUAUGCGAUUUUAAGAUUUCGAUUAGCCAUUUACUUUACAAUAAUAAACCAGAGAAUGCAUCUUCAAAUGCGCAAGGGAAUGCAACAGUGACGGUAUAUUUCGUACCAAUGAAUGGAGGGAUUUGGACAAUGUGUGUGCAACUGAACGAUCAACAGCUGCAUAUUCUGAAAGGAACAGACUUUCCUAUAGACUGCAUUUAUUAUUUGUCAAGUAAACAAUUCAAAGAUGAGGAGCAUUUAACCAGCAUUUGGAAUUACAGAACGUUCGCUCUGAAUAUUGUGCUAAGUAAUUGUACACAUAAAAAAAAUAGACCACACUGCACAUCAAGAGAACUACGAUAAUUCAGGAAUAUUCAAUACCACAGUUUCAUACAUAAUCGAUGAUGGAAUCGUUCAACAAUCCCGCAACGCUGCUAACAUGCAAUACUCGAAGAUAUGGAAAGAAUAUUACAAAGGCAGAGAAUUCAAGUUUGGCUGGAGUUAUGAUGUAGGAAUUGUGUAGUGCUCAUUUCUAUGAUUGGAUUGUGGCAUAUCUGUGUAGAUUUUUUUAGAAAUAUGUACAAUAAUUCGAUCAAAACCUUCAUUUCUUACUACAAUUGAUACGACGAGUCAACUCUUCUCACGAGAAAUUAGUAAACCUGUACAAAGCAUG